rnacentral:tRNA from 1 species
UUAUGACAGACCUAAUGUGUUAAAUUUAAAAUUUAAAUAUGAAUACUUCUUUUAGUA